GGAGCUUUAGCUCAGUUGGUUAGAGCAAUCGGCUCAUAACCGAUCGGUCCCGGGUUCGAGUCCCUGAAGCUCCAC
rnacentral:tRNA from 1 species